ensembl:lncRNA
GGCUACAUUCAAAGAGAGAUGGGAAAGAAAUCCAGCAAAAUGAGUACAGUUCUCCAUGAAGAGGGAGACAAAUGGGCAGCUGCUGCACAGACUGCCUCUGCCUGCAGUGAGGAAAAGCAGAGAACUGAUUUAUCUGAGGAUGAAGACAAAUGUGGCCAUUCGUGUGUCAUGAGGUUCCCCCUGUUUCCCUUGAUUCAGCACCUGAGCGCACUUGGUUGUGGCUCUGCUAUUUGUCCUCAAGCACCAACGUGCACAUCUGAGAUGUCUCUUGGCCACCACAGCCUGGAGCAGCCCCUGGAAGGUCUGUAGCCCACCCUGCCAGCCCACACCCCCAUGAGCUCCCUGUGUCCUGCUGCACCAGAGUGCUGCAUCACUCUGCCAGGCAGGGAAUAGAUGGGAUUUGGAACAAGCAGCUGUAAAGUCAUGGCUUAUAAUUCAAUUAGAGAUCAGGAUAAUCAGCUGAGUUGUGUCACAUCUAUUUAGUUUGACUUUGGUUUCUUGGAGGUCUAAGAACAUGGCCAAGGGGGAAUUGAGCUGCUUAUUUUGUUUGGGUGUUUGUUGGUUGGGAUUUGGGGGAGGUUGUUUUUGAACAACCUUUUUUAUUUAAAAGAAAAAAAAACAACAAUAUUCUGACCAUUUUUUAUGGGAUUAUUUCAACAGUUGUGGAAUUGUUCAGUGUUCUUGGAAAUGGACAGAGAAAGGACUAGACUUGUUUCAUUUGUAAAACAGUUUCAAAGACAUCUUUCACCACUGGUGUUUCUAUGUCCCAUCUGAGAGCCUUUACUUGUAUCUCUUCAUUUUUUUAAAUGUUCAUUUCUUCCUGUUUCACUUCCUCUUCCUUUCUCAUUGGCUUGCCUGUCUCUGCCAUUGCUGCCUUUCCUCUGUCCCUGCUGAGGCAGACGCUGCGCUGCCAAGUGGCUCAAGUACAAGGGGUUUUCCCAAGUUCUCCAGUGUCACUCUGUGAUGAACACUAAUAACUGGAUUGUCCAGCAAGGUAAAAUCAGAUCUGAUCAGUAAUAGGAAGUGUGAUCACCUGUGGAAAAUAGCUUUUCAGCUAUUUCAGUGGUAGAGGUUUCAUCUGAAAUCCACGACUUUCAUGAUAAUCUCAGGAAGCUCGCUAUCUCUGGAAUCUGGGGUUGUGUUUAGGCUUUUGUUGAAUUUUCUCAAACUUAGAAGAAAACCAAGUGAAUGAAUGGGAGCAGUAACUUUAUAUCAGUUGUGAGAUAUGUUUCCUUGGUGCCAAGCCUUUACUCUCUGGUAGGCAAUCCAUACCAGUAGGGGUUGAGGACGUUGCUGGUGCUCCCUUCCAGCUGCUCCACCCUCAUCUCUCCUCACCCAGCACCCAACCCAACCACAGCUACUGGUUUUAUUCCAACUUGUUAUGCCUCUGGGUGAGUGUGGGUAAGGGUAAAACCUGGCGAGGCAGACAUUUGUACACAGGUACAAGAUGGGGGCAUGAGGGUGAGUCAAAGCCAGCAUAGGUGACCUUCAACACCACUAAGAGUGAUGAGGUGAAACAGUGAAAAACAGUAGGACUGCAAGGCCAAAGGCUGGGAAGGAGAACCUGCAAGACAUCACAGUGAAGAGAAAUUGGCUGAAGAAGGUGAGGAGAGGCCAAAGUGUCACUGACCAGGUGAGAAAGACGCAAUUUAGGGAUUCUUUCACUACCAUGGACUUGCUCAGGCAUUUUGUUGCUUUUUCUUCAUUCACUGCAGGUGGGGCAAAAAUAUAUAUUAAAGAAAGGAAACCUUUCUAGAGCAUGAUCAUCCUGCUUCAUUCCAGAGGUUGGUUGGGUGGAAAAUCAUUUAAAAGGAAAAAAAAAAGUAGAGAAAAAACAUCUUGCAUGGUCUCCUCUGGGCAUCUUUUCUUGCUGCUGGAGAUAAGACUUUGGUCCCACGUGCACACACAUACCUGUACACACCUGGGAGAGGGCUCUGAGCAGGGUUAGAGGCAGCUUGUUUGCAAUCUGAGCAUCUGACCCACCUCUACCCUGCAGUCACAGCUGCAACAGCAAAAUAUGUGUGUGUACACAGGGUGGUAAUGCUGGCAAGUGAUCAUUUUUUAUAUAUAGCUGGUUAAUAAUUACUGCCUCCUUAUUCCUCUUAAAAGGUCUUGUGUGAUCACAAAUAAUUUAUUUACUAGUUAUUGUUUAGAUAGGUACAGUAAAGUAUCCACCUAUUGAUGCCUCUGCUUUAUCAUGCAUUUAAUGGUCUUAUUUCUCCAUAAUUAAUUCCUCCAGUUUUAUUUAUUUAUUUAAUUAUUUGUUCCUCCAGUGGGAAAUAAAUUGAAAUGCCAGUCUGGGGAUCA